ACAAAUGAGAUCAGAUUUUAGAAAAAAGAAAAAUCAUACCCUCUCUCAUACGAAAAACGAAAACGGUGCAUCUGAGUUCGGUUCUUCUCCAUUUUUUCCUUCUUCUUAUCCAUUUUAACUUUGGCUAUAAUACACACCCCUCCUUAACACACACACACGCUGAAGCCUCUAGCAACAAGUGGGAAUUAAAAAGUUUAGAGCUAAAAUUCAAAGAUUGCAAAGCUGAUUUUCAGUUUUAAAUCCUUGUCUUCUCUCACAUUUUUUGGGGAUUUUAGAGCUUGGUGGAGCUUUAGAACUUGUUUCGAAGAUGAGAGGUUGAUUUAAAUUCUAGUCAUUGUUCAAUUCCGCUGAUUUUUACUGUUUCUGGAAUUGCUGAGCUCUAAUCGGGAUGGUAGCUCCUUCCCUUAUGCCCCUCAGAAAAGCAAGAGCUACUGCUAAAUCAGAAGGAGUGUAUAGGACUAGAGUCUGGUCUUUUAGCAUUUAACCCUUUUAUGCCAAGAAUUUUGAUGUUCAAAAAGUAAUUACACGAAGGAGGUUUUUCUUAAACAGAUAUUUGAGUGGAAUACGUAGUGAGUUAUGUACAGAAAAUAUUUUUGUGUAUCUUAAACACGUUAGAAAAAUAUUUGUAAUAUUUGCUCUUCAUA